rnacentral:tRNA from 1 species
GCCGGUGUAGUUCAUUGGUAGAACGCGACCUUCCCAAGGUUGAGAGGCGGGUUCGAUUCCCGUCACCGGCUC